AUGCGGUAUGACGGUACCCUUUCGAAUAAGAGGUUGCUAACUCUGUGCCAGCAGCAGCGGUAAUACAGAGACCUCGAGCGUUAUCCGGAUUUACUGGGCGUAAAGCGUCUGUAGGGGGUUUGUUAAGUUCCAAGUAAAAUCUUAAGGCUCAACUUUAAGUUCGCUUGGAAAACUAAUAAACUGGAGUCCAGCAGAGGUGCAUGGAACUUGCGGUGUAGGAGUGAAAUCCGUUGAUAUCGCAAGGAACACCAAAGGCGAAGGCAUUGCACUGGGCUGGUACUGACCCUGAGAGACGAAAGCGUGGGGAGCAAAACGGAUUAGAUACCCGUGUAGUCAACGCCGUUUACGAUGUAUACUAGAUGUUUCGGGGAUUCGAUCCCUUGGGUGUCACAGCUAACGCGUUAAGUAUCCCGCCUGGGAUGUACGGCUCGCAAGGUCUAAUACUCUAAGGAAUAGACGGGUAUCCGCACAAGCGUUGGAGCGUCUGGUUUAAUUUGAUAGUAAGCAAUGGACCUGCACCAAGGUUUGACAUCCUAUGACAACCCUGGAAACAGGGCUUCCUUCGGGCAUAGUGACAGGUGCUGCAUGGUCGUCGUCAGUUCGUGCCGUGAGGUGUUCCGUUAAGUCGGGAAACGAACGAAACCCUCGUCGCAUGUUACAAAUGUCAUGCGAGACUGCCCGGGUCAACCGGGAGGAAGUCGGGGAUGACGUCAGAUCAGCAUGGCCCUUAUACCUUGGGCUACACAGGCGCUACAAUGGCCGGUACAAAGGGUUGCAAAACCGCGAGGUGAAGCUAAUCCCAUAAAGCCGGUCCAAGUUCGGAUUGGAGGCUGCAACUCGCCUCCAUGAAGUUGGAAUCGCUAGUAAUCGUGGAUCAGCCAUACCACGGUGAAUACGUUCCCGGAUCUUGUACUCACCGCCCGUCACACCAAGAGAGUUG
rnacentral:rRNA from 1 species